rnacentral:lncRNA from 1 species
CCACGUCAUCCUCCCCUGUUUUAGCUUCAACCAAUCUGAGUCUCUCUCUUCAGCCCGUUUGCAUGUCACUCGGAACCAAGAUAGAGCCAAGAUCCCAUCUUCUCCGGAUUGUUCUCAUUCGCGACAGCCUCUUUCCUCUUCUUCGGAUCAAGCCAGUGAACCUUCCCAGAUUUCCCUCGCGCCCAUCCUCUCACGAAACCGAAUCCAGACUUUCUCCCGUUCAGAUUACAAUCUUAUCCCCUGCUUCGGAUAAGUCCCAAACUCCCUCCCAUUCUUAAUUCUCCAGCAAAUCUAAGAUUUCCAGCUUCUUCCGAGUGGCAUCAAACCAUCUUCCAGAUUUGAUCUCCUUCCAGAUCUUCUUCCGGAUUCCUCCCAUCCAAGAUCGGCUUCCACAUCAUCUCGCCCCUAUUCACGGAUGAGCUCACAACCUUCUCUUACUUCGGAAGAGAGUCCCAACAUCCGGAUUAACUUCAGCACCUUCACUCCCUGAUUUUUAUCCAACGCCCAAGCUGCCGAAUCCCAUGAAUCAUCUCCUGUUUUCCAGCCAUUCCGAGCAUCACGGAAGAGUUUUUCUGUUCCCAGCCGAACGAAUCUUCCCACUCGAAGCGUUCGAGAUCAAAUCCCAGCUCACGGCUCUUCACUUCUUCCGAACCAAAUCCAAACCAGCAGCAUCCAUCCACUGUCCGCAUGGAUCCGACUCCAUCCUCCCAGCUGCUCACCCAUGGAUCUAACUCAAAAAGCCAUCCGGAUAUCCCACUCCCAGCAACCAGAUGAGCAUCCCGAAUAGCUCUUUCAGCCGUGUGCAUCGUCCCCGUUAUCCACGCCCCAGCAAUCUUCCGGAUUGAUCCUAGCCAGCUGCAAGUAAUCGCCCGAGCUAGCCAGCCAUCCGCAGCUAUAGCGAUGAACUUCUGAAGCCGAAUCCCAUGAUCUUCGCUCACGCGUCUUGCCCGCGUGCAUCCCAACAUCCGCGGAUAUGAUCAAGCCUCCACUGGGAACAACCACAAAGGAAACAGGGGAGGAGAGAGGAGGAGUUGGUAGCUUAUAAAAUGGGGAGUCGACGUUGAACAGGGGCAGCAGUUUUGAGAGGAUAGAAUAUUCCAUCAAUUGUUAGUUCUGGAGAAGAGAAAAGCCAGUGGGGAUGAGGUAGGGUGGAACCCGAUCGUGAUGGCCUUCUGCGUCGCUGCUGCUACCCCCCAUACCAUGGAAGGCUAAGCUCUGCACUAGGGCUGGAUGCAGCCCUAACAAAGGCGACAACGGUUCUUGUAUUUUUUUUAUUUUAUUUUUGAAAUUGUAUGAACCUAAUUGAUCUUAUUGAAUAUCCUUUUACCUCAUACUUAGGGUCUGUGAUUUUAAGUAUGAUGUUUAUGCAAGUAUUCUUCAUGAUCACUAAGUAAGAAUGAGAUAAUCCAUGCUUAGGAAAGAUGCGGUAUCCUACCACUUUAGUUUAGGGUUGACAUCUCAUGCCAACUGAAGAUGGAUUUUUCUUAAAUUGCUUUUGUGAAUUUCUAUUUGAAUGCUUAUUAGGCUUGUAGCCAAUUUGCAUGUUAAUCCAAGAAUAAAUUAAAAAUAUCAUUAAUCUUUAUUCCUAUGAUAGUGGUGAAUUCCUUACCCUAGGUUUCCUCAAACUGAUAUCUUUUUAAUUGUAUUUCUUAUUAAAUUGCUUAGUAUAGUAUUCUUCACAAACUCUCCUUUUCAAAUAUUUUUAAGAAAACAACUGACUCCAAUUUCUGUGGAUCGAUACCCGUAAUCACUAUUCUACCAGAUACGUGCUAUUGCGUGGUCUUUAAAGUUGACUAUCAAUUUUUGGCGCCGUUGCCGGGGAUUGCUAGCAUAGUUGUUUUUCUCUUCAUAAAAAAAAAUUACUUUCAAAAAUAAUAUAUAUCUAAAAUAAAAUAAAAAUAUUUUCUAUUUUUGUUGCUUUUCUUAUCUCUUUUUUUUUCUUACUAAUUUUUGAUUUUUCUCUUGGUAUUAUUUGAUCAGGAAUUGAAGAAGAAAUCUAGGACGAUCAAAAAGGGAACUGCUGGAAAAAGAAUGCUGUAGAGGGUUUGCCUAUAUAAAAAAAAAAUUGCUGGAAAAAUUCUCUUUGGU